rnacentral:tRNA from 1 species
GCAUCCAUAGCUCAAUAGAUAGAGCAAUAGCCUUCUAAACUAUAGGUUGUGAGUUCAAAUCUCACUAGAUGCA